CUUACUCGUGAACUCCCUCUUGGCUGACCCCUAAAAAGUAAAAAAAAAGAAAGAAGAAAAUACGAACCAGUUGUAAAUUUUUUCGAAGGUAGUAGUAAUAAAUUAAAUUUUCCCAUUUGGUUUUUAGAAUUUUAUUGCUUCGCCAUCAGUAAUAUUUGACUUGACAUGGAGAAGCGAUUCGAUUAAAAUAUUAAAGUGUUCAUUGAACUGUCUCUGCUAGCGAGAGAGAUCAGGGCGAGGGGUAAUGUUGUCAGGCGGGUCUGUUCGGUGACAACCCUCUACCGCUGGCACUUGGAAAUGUAAUGUCGACAGGGUGCAUCUACGAGCAUAACUCAGAGGCGGAUUUUGGGGCCAUUUUUGAAAGCUUGAAGUGAAAAAAAAAAAGAUUCUGGCAUGUCGAUCACCAUAUCUUGUCGAGCUAUUGGAAUGCAAGAGCGCCUUCUAUUUUAUUUCAGAAAACUUAAAUGGACCGAGCAUUUUGGAGAUGGAUUCUCAGAACGUAGUAACAGCUAUUAUUUUGUAUUUGGAUCGUUCAACGUGAUUCAUAAAUUUUAUUUUUAUAUAUA
rnacentral:lncRNA from 1 species